ACCUGCGGAAGGAUCAUUGUCGUGACCCUGAACAAAACAGACCGUGAACAUGUCGUCCAUGCCGCUGGGUAACAGGCCUUGCACCUGUCACCUGGUACAGGGAACCUACUUUCUUGUAAAGUUAGUGUCCCAAAAAGAACCAACGGCGCCGUAUGGCGUCAAGGAACAAUGAUAUUGCCUUGCUUGGUUCACGUUUGGCUUGCCGGACGAACCCAAUGCAAAGAUGAGAUGUUAAUCCACAUGACUCUCGGCAACGGAUAUCUCGGCUCUCGCAUCGAUGAAGAACGUAGCAAAAUGCGAUACCUGGUGUGAAUUGCAGAAUCCCGUGAACCAUCGAGUUUUUGAACGCAAGUUGCGCCCGAGGCCUUUUGACUGAGGGCACGUCUGCUUGGGCGUCACUCCAAAAGACACUCCCCACCCAUCCCGGUGUGGACGUGGUGUUUGGCCCCUCGUGCCAUUUGGCGCGGUGGGCACAAGUUGGGGCUGCCGGUGUUGCCGAUCACAGCAUAAGGUGGAUAACAAAUGUUGUUCUCGAAGCUAUGAUUCGGACCACUUAUGGUGAUGUGAUGGCCCUUUGGACCCAUUGAUCAAGUGCAUGUUGCUUGGAUUGCGACCCCAGGUCAGUCGGGAUUACCCGCUGAAUUUAAGCAUAUCAAUAAGCG
rnacentral:rRNA from 1 species